rnacentral:lncRNA from 1 species
AGAAAUCCCCAUCCCAUUGCGUCGCUCUCUCCUUCGACUCCUUUGCUACCGCCGGUGGCCACCGCGCCCAUUAAUCCCGUCAAAACCACCACUCACCGACGCUCUCUCUGCUACCGCGUCGUGUGGAACACUGGGAGACAUGGGGAGCUGCAAGGGUUGCGGAGAUAUGCGAGUUUGUGAGGCGGUAGAUGCUUUUUGUCGGCAGGGAGCUAGGGAUGCGUCUGCUUGACGCGCUCGCCGCGGUCUGCUGCCGGCAUCUCUGAUGCUGCAACCAGCCAUGGCCGGAGCUGGAACCGGCCUCACCGGAAGCUGCUAUAUGCAGUGCGCCAUGGCUAGACAUAGAUCAGUGCGACGGCAGCGACGGCAGGAUGCUACGACCGACCUGGUACCGACCUGGUGGGAUGCUGGAACCGCGGCCAGGCGGAGCUGCAACCGUGGCCUAGAAAAGCUGGAACCGUGCCGGAUGCUGGCGAGUGCUACAACCAUGGUGGCCAGAUGCUGGAUCCCGCACAAUUUUUUGCUUCUAUCGGUGUUUUCAAUUUUUUGCUGAAACUAGUGCCCCUUUUGCAUUUUUUACUACCACUCUUUUGUAUUUUGCCGGUACCAGCAUCAAUUUUUGCUACCACCGUGCAUCUGAUUUGCUGGAACCAACCCCCCAACUUGCAUCUUUUGCUACCAUCGGCCCUUUUAGUUUGCUGGAGCACAUAGAUGCAACAACCAUUGAUGCAGGAGCUGCAACCGUACCUGGUUUUUGCUGGAACCGGCGACCGCGGCGAGUUGUAGGGUGAGCACGGUGAGCUGCAGGGUUACCACGACAAGUUUGUGCAGAGGGGCGGGGUGCUGCUGCAACCAAAACCAGGUUUGCUGGAAGCGAUGAAUCAUUUUGCUAGAACCAGCUCCAAAAAAUGCUUCCACCAGAGUAUCUUUUUCGUUCUUUGCUAGACGAACGAUUUUUUGCUACAACCUUAUUUUUAAUUUGCUGGAACAAGGUUUUUCGAUUGAUUCAACAGGGGUGGCAAUACAGAGCAUCUUUUUCCGACAACCUUUUUUGUUUGUGAGCAUCGAUGGCGAGCGUUGCCAUGGAGCACGAUGGUGACUAUCGGCGGUGAGGGCAAACGGGGGAGGGUGACGGUGCGCUGCGCGACACGGCGAUGGGGGCGGCCGCCAUGACCUGCGGUGGUGCUUUUCCUCAGAUCUGAAAUCGUGACAGGGUGACAAGCGCUGGGGGGAAGCGCGAUCUGACGGCUAUGUGGGGGCGCAUCUAACGGCCAGGGUUGGACCGGCCCAAACUUUGGGCCAGCGUACCGGCGCAGAGUGCUGCCCUAUAAGUAACCCCUCCGUCUCGGGAUCGCUCCUUUCUUCCACCCCGGCCCCGCCUCUUUCCACUCAACCACGUAAGCUAAUCUAGCCAUGAGUCCUUGCGACAAGUGUUUUCUCGAGGGCUUUGUGUACGGCAUGGUGGCCAUCCCCGCGAUGCUGGGCAUCGCGCGGAUCCUCGACCUCAUCGACCACUUUAUCACGGACAAGAUCCGGGCUUGCAGGGGCGGCGAUCUGGAGCAAGGAGCGGGAGGCGCAGGCGGCGCGGCGGUCUGAGGUCAGGAUCGGCCGGGUCCAGGGCCUUCCCUGGAUGGAGGCGUGCAAGCUAAGUACUAUGGAGUGUUGCGUUGCGUGUGUCUGGUCAUUCGAUGAGAGCUUAAUUAGCUGCAGGCAUGGUAUGUAUUGGUACGGUAUGUUAUGUACUAGCAGGCAUUGCAUGGUCUCUGCGACUACUACGUACUCGAUCUAGAGUUUCUCUAGCAUGUGUUGUUCACUGCAUGCACGUACACAUAUGUAAUAUGUUUGUAAUAAUCGGUCUCCGGCUCCGGCCGGUGUGUUUGUUUCUCCGUCGAUCUACUUAAUUUGGCGAUAACUUAAUACUAGCAAGCAGGAGCUGUUUUACAGUUGUGCGUUGUGCCAUGUUUGUUGCUGCUGCAUUGUCAGUCUCUUCUGUAUAUAGUGGACAUAUCACCUCACCGUGCA